AUUGAACGCUGGCGGCGUGCCUAAUACAUGCAAGUCGAGCGAAGCUGCGGCUGGGUGAGCAACGCGUGGGUAACCUGCCCUUAAGUCUGGGCUACCUUUUGUAAACAGAUUCUAAUACCGGAUACUAACGGAUGGACCUGCGAUGCAUUAGCUAGUUGGUCAGGUAACGGCUGACCAAGGCGAUGAUGCAGUGCCGGGUUGAGAGACUGAUCUGCAACAUUGUGACUGAGACACGGCCCAAACUCCUACGGUAGGCAGCAGGAGGGAAUCUUCCGCGAUGGACGAAAGGCUGAUGGAGCAACGCCGCGUGAGUGAAGAAGGUUUUCGGAUCGUAAAGCUCUGUGGUUGUUGAAGCGGUAAUCAACCAGAAAGGCACGGCUAACUACGUGCCAGCAGCCGCGGUAAUUC
rnacentral:rRNA from 1 species